rnacentral:rRNA from 1 species
CAGUCGCCGCGGGAAUACGGAGGGUGCAAGCGUUAUCCGGAUUUAUUGGGUUUAAAGGGUCCGUAGGCGGAUCUGUAAGUCAGUGGUGAAAUCUUACAGCUUAACUGUGAAACUGCCAUUGAUACUGCAGGUCUUGAGUAAAUUUGAAGUGGCUGGAAUAAGUAGUGUAGCGGUGAAAUGCAUAGAUAUUACUUAGAACACCAAUUGCGAAGGCAGGUCACUAAGAUUUAACUGACGCUGAUGGACGAAAGCGUGGGGAGCGAACAGGAUUAGAUACCCGAGUAGUCCCUGUCUCUUAUAC